GGGGAUGUAACUCAGUGAUAGAGAGCCUGCCUGCCAUGCAUGAGGUCCUAGGUUCAAUCCCUAGCACCA
rfam:Ictidomys tridecemlineatus contig061540, whole genome shotgun sequence.